CAAGCGGUGCAGUCUGUCUGGAGGAGGAAGAUAUUGUGAGAGUCUCUUAUCCACACAUACCUUCCCAGAUGCUCCAAACAGUCACAUUAGUGCUGACUCUGAAAGAACUUGUCUGCUCAUCCAUCACCUCUAAGAAGAGGAGGGUUAGUACAACAUCUCUGACCAAGCUUAGUUGCCAGAAGCAAGAGAGGAAUCAAAAGACAAUGGAAGAGGAAGGACACUGAAGUACUGAGGAGGAGGACAGCAUUUGGUGAAGAAGAUGAAAACAAACUUGACAUUUUUUGGAUAGGUAUCGAGCUGUAGUGACUUUCAUUUCAAGAGGCUGUUAAAAGGAAUUUAAAAGACUGGUACAGCUAACUAAUGACCACUGUGGAAUGAACAUGUUGGCUUAGGAAGAGACUAUUUGAGCUGCAGCUGGUAGUGCCAUUCUGGAUGCUUUUUGUGGAGAGUACAGAACUCAGCAUAUCUGACCUUUACCUUGAAUCACCUCAUCAGAAAGAAGUGAGCUGCUGCAAGAUUUCCUGCCACUGCCCUGGAGUGCCGCAGAAUUCCAGUCCCUUGCUGUAGAAUUCAGGUCAAGCUUCCCAUGGAGUACAAAGAUCCUUGACUAUAAA